UAGGGAAUCUUCCACAAUGGACGAAAGUCUGAUGGAGCAACGCCGCGUGAGUGAAGAAGGGUUUCGGCUCGUAAAACUCUGUUGUUAAAGAAGAACAUAUCUGAGAGUAACUGUUCAGGUAUUGACGGUAUUUAACCAGAAAGCCACGGCUAACUACGUGCCUG
rnacentral:rRNA from 1 species